rnacentral:rRNA from 1 species
ACGCUUGAAGUCAGUCGCGUUGGCCGGGAAUCAGCCUUGCUUUUGCUUGGUGUACUUUCUGGUUGACGGGCCAGCAUCAGUUUUGACCGGUGGAAAAAGUUCAGGGGAAUGUGGCAUCUUCGGGUGUGUUAUAGCCCUUGUUCGUAUACAUCGGUUGGGACUGAGGAACUCAGCACGCCGCAAGGCCGGGUCUUUGACCACGUUCGUGCUUAGGAUGCUGGCAUAAUGGCUUUAAUCGACCCGUCUUGA